rnacentral:rRNA from 1 species
GAACGCCCGGGCAACCGGGAGUGGCAGACGGGUGAGUAACACGUGGGAACGUGCCCUUCGGUUCGGAAUAACUCGGGGAAACUCGAGCUAAUACCGGAUACGUCCGUAAGGAGAAAGAUUUAUUGCCGAAGGAUCGGCCCGCGUCCGAUUAGCUAGUUGGUGGGGUAAUGGCCCACCAAGGCGACGAUCGGUAGCUGGUCUGAGAGGAUGAUCAGCCACACUGGGACUGAGACACGGUCCAGACUCCUACGGGAGGCAGCAGUGGGGAAUUUUUCGCAAUGGGGGAAACCCUGACGCAGCAACGCCGCGUGGAGGAUGAAGCCCCUUGGGGCGUAAACUCCUUUCGACCAAGACGAUAAUGACGGUACUGGUGGAAGAAGCACCGGCUAACUCUGUG